rnacentral:rRNA from 1 species
AGGGUUCGAUUCUGGCUCAGGAUGAACGCUAGCUACAGGCCUAACACAUGCAAGUCGAGGGGUAGCGUGAGGGAAGCUUGCUUCCCUUGGCGACGACCGGCGAAUGGGUGAGUCACGCGUGUCCAACCUGCCCCGUGCCCGGGGAUAGCCCUUGGAAAUGAGGAUUAAGACCCGAUAUGUGGCGCUUCCGCAUGGCGGCGCCAUGAAGCAGGCACGGGAUGGGGACGCGUCGGAUUAGCUUGACGGCGGGGCAACGGCCCACCGUGGCGACGAUCCGCAGGGGUUCUGAGAGGAAGGUCCCCCACACUGGCACUGAGACACGGGCCAGACUCCUACGGGAGGCAGCAGUGAGGAAUAUUGGUCAAUGGGCGGGAGCCUGAACCAGCCCAAGUAGCGUGCAGGACGACGGCCCUACGGGUUGUAAACUGCUUUUCCGGGAGGAUAAAGUGAGCCACGCGUGGUUCAUUGCAGGUAUCCCGGGAAUAAGGACCGGCUAAUUCCGUGCCAGCCGCCGC